GACGAACGCUGGCGGCGUGCUUAACACAUGCAAGUCGAACGGAAAGGCCCUGCUUUUGUGGGGUGCUCGAGUGGCGAACGGGUGAGUAACACGUGAGUAACCUGCCCUUGACUUUGGGAUAACUUCAGGAAACUGGGGCUAAUACCGGAUAGGAGCUCCUGCUGCAUGGUGGGGGUUGGAAAGUUUCGGCGGUUGGGGAUGGACUCGCGGCUUAUCAGCUUGUUGGUGGGGUAGUGGCUUACCAAGGCUUUGACGGGUAGCCGGCCUGAGAGGGUGACCGGCCACAUUGGGACUAAGAUACGGCCCAGAAUCCUACGGGAGGCAGAAGUGGGGAAUAUUGCACAAUGGGCGGAAGCCUGAUGCAGCAACGCCGCGUGCGGGAUGACGGCCUUCGGGUUAUAAACCGCUUUCGCCUGUGACGAAGCGUGAGUGACGGUAAUGGGUAAAGAAGCACCGGCUAACUACGUG
rnacentral:rRNA from 1 species